rnacentral:rRNA from 1 species
GGGUUGUGAGGUUAAGCGACUAAGCGUACACGGUGGAUGCCCUGGCAGUCAGAGGCGAUGAAGGACGUGCUAAUCUGCGAAAAGCGUCGGUAAGGUGAUAUGAACCGUUAUAACCGGCGAUGUCCGAAUGGGGAAACCCAGUGCAAUUCGUUGCACUAUCGUUAACUGAAUACAUAGGUUAACGAGGCGAACCGGGGGAACUGAAACAUCUAAGUACCCCGAGGAAAAGAAAUCAACCGAGAUUCCCCCAGUAGCGGCGAGCGAACGGGGAGCAGCCCAGAGUCUGAAUCAGCUUGUGUGUUAGUGGAACGGUCUGGAAAGUCCGACGGUACAGGGUGAUAGUCCCGUACACCAAAAUGCACAGGUUGUGAACUCGAAGAGUAGGGCGGGACACGUGGUAUCCUGUCUGAAUAUGGGGGGACCAUCCUCCAAGGCUAAAUACUCCUGACUGACCGAUAGUGAACCAGUACCGUGAGGGAAAGGCGAAAAGAACCCCGGCGAGGGGAGUGAAAAAGAACCUGAAACCGUGUACGUACAAGCAGUGGGAGCACGCUUCGGCGUGUGACUGCGUACCUUUGUAUAAUGGGUCAGCGACUUAUAUUCUGUAGCAAGGUUAACCGUAUAGGGGAGCCGCAGGGAAACCGAGUCUUAACUGGGCGUUAAGUUGCAGGGUAUAGACCCGAAACCCGGUGAUCUAGCCAUGGGCAGGUUGAAGGUUGGGUAACACUAACUGGAGGACCGAACCGACUAAUGUUGAAAAAUUAGCGGAUGACUUGUGGCUGGGGGUGAAAGGCCAAUCAAACCGGGAGAUAGCUGGUUCUCCCCGAAAGCUAUUUAGGUAGCGCCUCGUGAAUUCAUCUUCGGGGGUAGAGCACUGUUUCGGCUAGGGGGUCAUCCCGACUUACCAACCCGAUGCAAACUACGAAUACCGAAGAAUGUUAUCACGGGAGACACACGGCGGGUGCUAACGUCCGUCGUGAAGAGGAAACAACCCAGACCGCCAGCUAAGGUCCCAAAGUCAUGGUUAAGUGGGAAACGAUGUGGGAAGGCACAGACAGCCAGGAUGUUGGCUUAGAAGCAGCCAUCAUUUAAAGAAAGCGUAAUAGCUCACUGGUCGAGUCGGCCUGCGCGGAAGAUGUAACGGGGCUAAACCAUGCACCGAAGCUGCGGCAGCGACACUAUGUGUUGUUGGGUAGGGGAGCGUUCUGUAAGCCUGCGAAGGUGACCUGUGAGGGUUGCUGGAGGUAUCAGAAGUGCGAAUGCUGACAUAAGUAACGAUAAAGCGGGUGAAAAGCCCGCUCGCCGGAAGACCAAGGGUUCCUGUCCAACGUUAAUCGGGGCAGGGUGAGUCGACCCUAAGGCGAGGCCGAAAGGCGUAGUCGAUGGGAAACAGGUUAAUAUUCCUGUACUUGGUGUUACUGCGAAGGGGGGACGGAGAAGGCUAUGUUAGCCGGGCGACGGUUGUCCCGGUUUAAGCAUGUAGGCUGGUUAUCCAGGCAAAUCCGGAUAAUCAAGGCUGAGGUGUGAUGACGAGGCACUACGGUGCUGAAGUAACAAAUGCCCUGCUUCCAGGAAAAGCCUCUAAGCAUCAGGUAACAUUAAAUCGUACCCCAAACCGACACAGGUGGUCAGGUAGAGAAUACCAAGGCGCUUGAGAGAACUCGGGUGAAGGAACUAGGCAAAAUGGUGCCGUAACUUCGGGAGAAGGCACGCUGGUGUGUAGGUGAAGUCCCUCGCGGAUGGAGCUGAGACCAGUCGAAGAUACCAGCUGGCUGCAACUGUUUAUUAAAACACAGCACUGUGCAAACACGAAAGUGGACGUAUACGGUGUGACGCCUGCCCGGUGCCGGAAGGUUAAUUGAUGGGGUUACCGUAAGAGAAGCUCUUGAUCGAAGCCCCGGUAAACGGCGGCCGUAACUAUAACGGUCCUAAGGUAGCGAAAUUCCUUGUCGGGUAAGUUCCGACCUGCACGAAUGGCGUAAUGAUGGCCAGGCUGUCUCCACCCGAGACUCAGUGAAAUUGAACUCGCUGUGAAGAUGCAGUGUACCCGCGGCAAGACGGAAAGACCCCGUGAACCUUUACUAUAGCUUGACACUGAACAUUGAGCCUUGAUGUGUAGGAUAGGUGGGAGGCUUUGAAGCGUGGACGCCAGUCUGCGUGGAGCCAACCUUGAAAUACCACCCUUUAAUGUUUGAUGUUCUAACGUUGGCCCUUAAUCCGGGUUGCGGACAGUGUCUGGUGGGUAGUUUGACUGGGGCGGUCUCCUCCCAAAGCGUAACGGAGGAGCACGAAGGUUAGCUAAUCCUGGUCGGACAUCAGGAGGUUAGUGCAAUGGCAUAAGCUAGCUUGACUGCGAGCGUGACGGCGCGAGCAGGUGCGAAAGCAGGUCAUAGUGAUCCGGUGGUUCUGAAUGGAAGGGCCAUCGCUCAACGGAUAAAAGGUACUCCGGGGAUAACAGGCUGAUACCGCCCAAGAGUUCAUAUCGACGGCGGUGUUUGGCACCUCGAUGUCGGCUCAUCACAUCCUGGGGCUGAAGUAGGUCCCAAGGGUAUGGCUGUUCGCCAUUUAAAGUGGUACGCGAGCUGGGUUUAGAACGUCGUGAGACAGUUCGGUCCCUAUCUGCCGUGGGCGCUGGAGAAUUGAGGGGGGCUGCUCCUAGUACGAGAGGACCGGAGUGGACGCAUCACUGGUGUUCGGGUUGUCAUGCCAAUGGCACUGCCCGGUAGCUAAAUGCGGAAGAGAUAAGUGCUGAAAGCAUCUAAGCACGAAACUUGCCCCGAGAUGAGUUCUCCCUGAGACUUUAAGUCUCCUGAAGGAACGUUAAAGACGAUGACGUUGAUAGGCCGGGUGUGUAAGCGCAGCGAUGCGUUGAGCUAACCGGUACUAAUGAACCGUGAGGCUUAACCUUACAACGCCGAAG